UACAGAGGUCCCAAGCGUUGUUCGGAUUCCUUGGGCGUAAAGGGUGCGUAGGCGGCGCGGUCAGUCGGGUGUGAAAUCUCGGAGCUUAACUCCGAAACUGCAUUCGAUACUGCCGUGCUUGAGGACUGGAGAGGAGACUGGAAUUUACGGUGUAGCGGUGAAAUGCGCAGAUAUCAGGAGGAACACCAAUGGCGAAGGCAGCUCGCUGGAACGGUACUGACGCUGAGGCGCGAAAGCGUGGGGAGCAAACAGG
rnacentral:rRNA from 1 species